rnacentral:rRNA from 1 species
GAUGAACGCUAGCGGCAGGCUUAACACAUGCAAGUCGAGGGGCAGCGCGGGAUAGCAAUAUCCUGGCGGCGACCGGCGGAAGGGUGCGUAACGCGUGAGCGACAUGCCCGUUGCCCGGGGACAACCGGUGGAAACGCCGACUAAUCCCCGAUGGGAUAUUGUUCCGCAUGGCACGAUAUUGAAAGUUACGGCGGCGACGGAUUGGCGCGCGUCCGCUUAGCUUGUUGGCGGGGUAACGUCCCCCCAAGGCUGCGAUCGGUAGGGGUUCUGAGAGGAAGGCGCCCCACAAUGGGAUUGGGACACGGCCCAUACUCCUACGGGAGGAAGCAGUGAGGAAUAUUGGUCAAUGGGAGGAAGCCUGAACCAGCCAUGGCGCGUGCGGGAAGGAGGCCCUAUGGGCUGUGAACCGCUGUUGCCUGGGGGCAAUAAGGGCGUCACGAACGUCCGAUGAGAGUACCAGGCGAAUAAGCAUCGGCUAACUCCGUG